GUGGGGAAUAUUGGACAAUGGGCGAAAGCCUGAUCCAGCCAUGCCGCGUGUGUGAAGAAGGUCUUCGGAUUGUAAAGCACUUUAAGUUGGGAGGAAGGGCAGUAAGUUAAUACCUUGCUGUUUUGACGUUACCGACAGAAUAAGCACCGGCUAACUUCGUGCCAGCAGCCGCGGUAAUACGAAGGGUGCAAGCGUUAAUCGGAAUUACUGGGCGUAAAGCGCGCGUAGGUGGUUUUGUAAGUUGGAGGUGAAAUCCCCGGGCUCAACCUGGGAACUGCCUCCAAAACUGCAUGACUAGAGUACGGUAGAGGGUAGUGGAAUUUCCCGUGUAGCGGUGAAAUGCGUAGAUAUAGGAAGGAACACCAGUGGCGAAGGCGACUACCUGGACUGAUACUGACACUGAGGUGCGAAAGCGUGGGGAGCAAACAGGAUUAGAAACCCGAGUAGUCC
rnacentral:rRNA from 1 species